rnacentral:rRNA from 1 species
CAAUAGCGUAUAUUAAAGUUGUUGCAGUUAAAAAGCUCGUAGUUGAAUUUUUGCUUGCCGCCGAUGUCGGAACUUCCGUACGUUCGGCGGCGUGCAUCCUUGGGUGGAACCUGUGUGGCAUUAGGUUGUCGUGCAGGGGAUGCUCAUCGUUUACUGUGAAAAAAUUAGAGUGUUCAAAGCAGGCUUACGCCGUUGAAUAUAUUAGCAUGGAAUAAUAAGAUAGGACCUUGGUACUAUUUUGUUGGUUUGCGCACCGAGGUAAUGAUUAACAGGGACAGUUGGGGGUAUUCGUAUUCCAUUGUCAGAGGUGAAAUUCUUGGAUUUUUGGAAGACGAACUACUGCGAAAGCAUUUACCAAGGAUGUUUNCAUUAA